rnacentral:rRNA from 1 species
GAUUGAACGCUGGCGGUAUGCUUAACACAUGCAAGUCGAACGGAAACGAUACUAGCUUGCUAGUAGGCGUCGAGUGGCGGACGGGUGAGUAACGCGUAGGAAUCUGCCUGAUAGUGGGGGAUAGCCCGAAGAAAUUCGGAUUAAUACCGCAUAAUCUAUUCGUAGUAAAGUGGGGGACUUUCGAGCCUCACGCUAUCAGAUGAGCCUGCGUAAGAUUAGCUUGUUGGUAGGGUAAAAGCCUACCAAGGCGACGAUCUUUAGCUGGUCUGAGAGGAUGAUCAGCCACAUCGGGACUGAGACACGGCCCGAACUCCUACGGGAGGCAGCAGUGGGGAAUAUUGGACAAUGGGGGCAACCCUGAUCCAGCAAUACCGCGUGUGUGAAGAAGGCCUGAGGGUUGUAAAGCACUUUCAAUUGUGAAGAAAAGUUAGCGGUUAAUAACCGUUAGCCUUGACGUUAACUUUAGAAGAAGCACCGGCUAACUCCGUGCCAGCAGCCGCGGUAAUACGGAGGGUGCAAGCGUUAAUCGGAAUUACUGGGCGUAAAGCGUGCGUAGGCGGUUUAUUAAGUCAGAUGUGAAAGCCCCGGGCUUAACCUGGGAACUGCAUUUGAAACUGGUCAACUAGAGUAUGGUAGAGGAAAGUGGAAUUUCUGGUGUAGCGGUGAAAUGCGUAGAUAUCAGAAGGAACAUCAAUGGCGAAGGCAGCUUUCUGGACCAAUACUGACGCUGAGGUACGAAAGCGUGGGUAGCAAACAGGAUUAGAUACCCUGGUAGUCCACGCCGUAAACGAUGAUAACUAGCCGUUGGGGGGGAUUUACCCUUUAGUGGCGAAGCUAACGCGUUAAGUUAUCCGCCUGGGGAGUACGGCCGCAAGGUUAAAACUCAAAGGAAUUGACGGGGACCCGCACAAGCGGUGGAGCAUGUGGUUUAAUUCGAUGCAACGCGAAGAACCUUACCUGGUCUUGACAUCCUGCGAACUUUCUAGAAAUAGAUUGGUGCCUUCGGGAACGCAGUGACAGGUGCUGCAUGGCUGUCGUCAGCUCGUGUCGUGAGAUGUUGGGUUAAGUCCCGUAACGAGCGCAACCCCUAUCCUUAUUUGCCAGCACAUCAUGGUGGGAACUAUAAGGAGACUGCCGGUGAUAAACCGGAGGAAGGCGGGGACGACGUCAAGUCAUCAUGGCCCUUACGACCAGGGCUACACACGUGCUACAAUGGGAAGGACAAAGAGCCGCGAAGCCGCGAGGUGUAGCUAAUCUCAUAAACCUUUUCGUAGUCCGGAUUGGAGUCUGCAACUCGACUCCAUGAAGUCGGAAUCGCUAGUAAUCGUAGAUCAGAAUGCUACGGUGAAUACGUUCCCGGGUCUUGUACACAC